UUUUAUGUUUGUCGAUUUAAAUUGUGGACAAAAUGACCCACUGAUUCAAAGAUAUAGGAUUAUCCCGGUUUUUCUGGUUUCCAUCUUUGUUCUGCUGAACACAAAAGGUUGAAUUUGGAGUUUUUCCUCUGGCCUCCUCCCCGUGAGAGCCGCAGACUGCGGAGCCUCUGCUGCAAAUGGGAUAUUGUUCUGGGCUCCAACAAAGCUGUUUUCACCCUCUUCAAUAUUACAGGAGGAGUCACCCGAUACCCAACAAUCAGCUAAUCCACUGCCCAUGGCGACGAGGUCACCUGUGCACAGAGGCUGAGAUGAGAAAAGGAGGCCUAAUGAAGUCCAGGUUGUGGAGCAUGUGUAAACCAUCACCACAGGUCUGCAGAAAGCUGCAGAAGGCUUGCUGGAUUACUGCAUGCGUCCCCCCUCGCCGUCCUUUCAAUCUGGCAACGCUGGACUUUUAAAUAUCGGGAGGACAUGUGCUUUCUGUUGUAAACUCACAUUCCUUACAGGCUUACUGUGUCGCUAAAAUCUCCAUGAUCCCAUAUUGUUAUCAGUCAUCGUAAAAUCACAUCAGGAAUAAAACUGCCUUCUUCUU